rnacentral:rRNA from 1 species
UACCAGCACCCCGAGUGGUCGGGACGAUUAUUGGGCCUAAAGCAUCCGUAGCCGGUCCUACAAGUCUUCCGUUAAAUCCACCUGCUUAACAGAUGGGCUGCGGAAGAUACUAUAGGGCUAGGAGGCGGGAGAGGCAAGCGGUACUCAGUGGGUAGGGGUAAAAUCCUCUGAUCCAUUGAAGACCACCAGUGGCGAAGGCGGCUUGCCAGAACGCGCUCGACGGUGAGGGAUGAAAGCUAGGGGAGCAAACGGG